GAUGAAGAACACAGCGAAAUGCGAUAAGUAGUGUGAAUUGCAGAAUUCAGUGAAUCAUCGAAUCUUUGAACGCACAUUGCGCCCCUUGGUAUCCCGAGGGGCAUGCCUGUUCGAGCGUCAUUUCACCACUCAAGCCUGGCUUGGUGUUGGGCGACGUCCCCUUUGGGGACGCGCCUCGAAACGCUCGGCGGCGUGGCACCGGCUUUAAGCGUAGCAGAAUCUUUCGCUUUGGAAGUCGGGGCCCCGUCUGCCGGAAGACCUACUCGCAAGGUUGACCUCGGAUCAGGCAGGGAUACCCGCUGAACUUAAGCAUAUCAAUAAGCGGAGGA
rnacentral:misc_RNA from 1 species